rnacentral:rRNA from 1 species
UGGGGAAUAUUGCACAAUGGGCGAAAGCCUGAUGCAGCAACGCCGCGUGAGUGAUGAAGGCCUUCGGGUUGUAAAGCUCUGUCUUUUGGGACGAUAAUGACGGUACCAAAGGAGGAAGCCACGGCUAACUACGUGCCAGCAGCCGCGGUAAUACGUAGGUGGCAAGCGUUGUCCGGAUUUACUGGGCGUAAAGGAUGCGUAGGCGGAUUUUUAAGUGAGAUGUGAAAUACCCGGGCUUAACUUGGGUGCUGCAUUUCAAACUGGGAAUCUAGAGUGCGGGAGAGGAGAAUGGAAUUCCUAGUGUAGCGGUGAAAUGCGUAGAGAUUAGGAAGAACACCAGUGGCGAAGGCGAUUCUCUGGACCGUAACUGACGCUGAGGCAUGAAAAGCGUGGGUAGCAAACAGGAUUAGAUACCCUGGUAGUCCACGCCGUAAACGAUGAGUACUAGGUGUAGGAGGUAUCGACCCCUUCUGUGCCGCAGUUAACACAAUAAGUACUCCGCCUGGGAAGUACGAUCGCAAGAUU